GACGAACGCUGGCGGCGUGCCUAAUACAUGCAAGUAGAACGCACAGUUUAUACCGUAGCUUGCUACACCAUAGACUGUGAGUUGCGAACGGGUGAGUAACGCGUAGGUAACCUGCCUGGUAGCGGGGGAUAACUAUUGGAAACGAUAGCUAAUACCGCAUAAUAUUGAUUAUUGCAUGAUAAUUAAUUGAAAGGUGCAAUUGCACCACUACCAGAUGGACCUGCGUUGUAUUAGCUAGUAGGUGAGGUAACGGCUCACCUAGGCGACGAUACAUAGCCGACCUGAGAGGGUGGUCGGCCACACUGGGACUGAGACACGGCCCAGACUCCUACGGGAGGCAGCAGGAGGGGAUCUUCGGCAAUGGACGAAAGUCUGACCGAGCAACGCCGCGUGAGUGAAGAAGGUUUUCGGGUCGUAAAGCUCUGUUGUAAGAGAAGAACGGGUGUGAGAGUGGAAAGUUCACGCUGUGACGGUAUCUUACGAGAAAGGGACGGCUAACUACGUG
rnacentral:rRNA from 1 species